CCUGCUCCGACCCCGGGCGCGCCGGCGGGGGGAGGGCCCGCCCUGCGGAGGCUGCGGGGCAGUGCGGCAGGGCUGGCGAGCGGCGAGCGCGGGUCUGGGCUGCGGGGCACGGGCCCGCCGCGGAGGGGAAGGGCGCUCUGCCGAGGCGCAGCUUUUCCCGAGGGGAAGGAAGGGCAGGCACUGGCUGUGAGGGAUGCAUCGUCCAGUGGUCCGCUGGAGCGCCUCCAGCUAACGCGCUGCCUGCCGUAGUCUGUUUUUACUGAAGGAGGGUGCGCGUGGAGGCAGAGCUCCGGACUGCCGUGAGGUGCUUCGUGCCAUCUCCUUUUCUCUAGUGAGCCGAAGUCUGUAAGCAAACUAAUAAAACCAAGCUCCCGUCUCUUGCAUCGGAGAAGCUGGAGACCUUGGUAAAUACUGCAGAUGGUUUAUAUAAACUGCUCUAAAUUAAAGAAACAGUCAGUCUCUGCUUAUCAUUCCAUGUAUCUUUUGGGGAUGGGUAGAAGACUCGCCACUAAAAGAAACACAGCAGCUGUAAGUGUAAAAAAAAAAAAAAUCUGUCUAAGGAAAUUAGCUGUUGGUAUGCAUCACUGGCUAGCAUAAGAUAGAACAGGAGAUAGAAAAGGAGGAGAUGUGGUAAGUGAAGUAAUUCAAGCCUUCAUGAGUAAACAAGGAAUUAAACAAAGGCUGCAUAUAUCUUGCCACGCACAGCACUCUGGAGUGGUAGAAGGAAUGAAGCAGACUAUCAAAAAUAAACUCGAGAAAAUUAUAGGCCAAUAUCCAAAGCAAUGGACUGAAAAAUUACCAGUGAUAUUAGCAGCUUUAAGAAAUAGCAACAGCUCAUGCACCAGUUUACAUUUGUGGCUUGUUUUGUUUGGACAGUCCAUGCCCCACACGUGAGACCCUAAGGAUCCUGAAAGUGAUCAGUGGGAAUGGGAAAAGCAUUACAAGAGAAUAAAGAAGAAAUUUAGGCUCUGGUGGAAGAAGCAGUAAAAGAAGCAAGAAAAAAAUAAUGGGGAAAAUUAGAAUCAAAUGCAUAUGGUGAUACUGAGGCCGAGUAAUGGUUUUGAGCCUGGGUAAAAAGAAACAUGCCUUAGAACCAAAAUGGAAGGGGGGCUAAUUUGUUACCAGUAUGAGUCCAGUAACACAUCAAUGAGAUGAGGGCAAUAGUACCUAUGAAUGGCUUCAUGUUUCUUAGUUCUCCACCUACAGGGGUGAGUAGGUAUGGACUCAGUUGUGGAUUGGCCAAGGAGGUGGACAGUUCCUGCAGCAUCAGUUUGAGAAGGUGGAUAUUUACCCUGACUUCCCGUUCAGCUCACAGCAAGCCCAAAAGAAAGCCCAUCUCUGAAAAUCAAAGGAGGGAGCUAUGGCUUCACCUGGUCACUUGUCUUGGCCCUAACAUCAGGUGUCACAAACAGGACCCAGCAGGGCUUGUUUGUCAGCUGCCAAAUAAAGAAGAUGGAGCACCCUGUCCACACAAAGUAAUCGUUAGCCAGUAAAGCUAAGACUGCAUUAGAUGUCUGGGAUGCUGCCUGGAUGUGUAGAGAUGAGAUCAGGAAAGCCAAGGCACAGUUGGAGUUGAAUUAGGCAAAGGUUUCAAAGAAUAGUAAGAAGGGCUUCUACAGGUGUGUUGGGCAAAAAAGGAAGAUGAAAGAAAAUGCAUACACCACACCU